rnacentral:tRNA from 1 species
UCCCUGGAGGACUAGUGGUCAGGCCACAGUGCUCUCACCGCUGCGGCCCGGGUUCGAUUCCCAGUCAUGGAA